GAGGAGUUAAUUGAUUCUAUAACGUAAAAUUGUCAAUUUUAAAUAACUAAAAUAUUAGUACUUUUCG
rnacentral:tRNA from 1 species